CCUACGGGAGGCUGCAGUGAGGAAUAUUGGUCAAUGGACGAGAGUCUGAACCAGCCAAGUAGCGUGAAGGAUGACUGCCCUAUGGGUUGUAAACUUCUUUUAUAUGGGAAUAAAAUGUUCCACGUGUGGGAUUUUGUAUGUACCAUAUGAAUAAGGAUCGGCUAACUCCGUGCCAGCAGCCGCGGUAAUACGGAGGAUCCGAGCGUUAUCCGGAUUGAUUGGGUUUAAAGGGAGCGUAGGUGGAUUGUUAAGUCAGUUGUGAAAGUUUGCGGCGCAACCGUAAAAUUGCAGUUGAAACGGGCAGUCUUGAGUACAGUAGAGGUGGGCGGAAUUCGUGGUGUAGCGGUGAAAUGCUUAGAGAUCACGAAGAACUCCGAUUGCGAAGGCAGCUCACUGGACUGCAACUGACACUGAGGCUCGAAAGUGUGGGUAUCAAACAGGAUUAGAUACCCGAGUAGUC
rnacentral:rRNA from 1 species